CAAAUUAAAGCUUAGAGCAUUUUAUUUACAUUAAAAAGAUUAAUUGUUAAAUCAAUUUGAUUUGA
rnacentral:tRNA from 1 species